rnacentral:tRNA from 1 species
GGUGGGCUGGCCGGGGUCUCCUACGACCCCUGCUACCACCAGGCCUGCGACAGCCGUACGCCGGUCGCCGACGGCGCCGACGCCGCCAUCUACCA